UACUAGUAUGUAAGUUGAGCUCACAAAAUAUCAAAGAGGGAGAAAUGGUCAAAAGCUAAAGCUGGUUUUGAGACAAUAAAGAAAACAUUAAAUUGAUGAAGUGAGUAGUUAAAUGUCUAUUUCUCAUUUAAUUUUCUAAUUCACUUGUACUGAUUUUGAUUUUUUUGUAUAUAUUUUCAUCAUGUACUUGACUUUUGAAGACCUUACUGCAUUUUUAUUGAAUGUUUCAAUAUCUUUUUGUUAAAUAAACAAACCGUGUGAACUUUCUAUCUAACAUUUUUAACUUUUGAAAAAAAGAGAGAGUUACAGUUAGUAAAAUUUCAAAAGAUUGAAGGAGGGAGAGGAACCAAACUUAUUCCAAUUCAUUUGAGACAACGAAAAAAAAACAAAUUAAAGCAGGAAAAAAAAACAGAUAUGGUCGAAGGAUAUAUAUCCUACAUAGGAAUAAGAUUUAAAGUACAAAACUAAAGGUAAAGCAAACUAUCUUUUACAGUUUCGAACUCACUUCGAAUCAAUCAAUCAAAUUUGUUGUUGAAAAAAAAAAUUGUUAUUGAACUAGGAAAUUUCCAACACUGAAUAUGGGCCUAUAUGGGCUCAUUCGUAAUCUUCACGACCUGUAUUGUAUUACGCAAUAGGUAAAUAGCCGAGGUGAAGCUCGGGCCAUUACCUUGAUGGCUUGAUUAAUCCCAGAUAUCUCUAAACUACGUAUGAAGUGGUCAAUAAAGAGAACCAUGUGAUUUUUCUUCAGAAAAUCUUUAGAACAAUUUUUUUCAUAACAUAAACAGGUUAAAAAAAAAGAAGAAUUUUUUUUGUCACAUUUUAAUUAGUCAAAGUAGUUCUAAAAAUGCAACCAGGCAACAUUAUCUUCUUGAUUUCUUUCUUAAUUUCGUAAUUCUUCUUUCUAUUCCACCAAGAUUUCCUCCGUUGACUAGAACUUGUGAUCGUCUUAGAAGAAGCAUAUGCAUUGUUGUUGUCUUUAUCUUUUGCCAUCACAGCUUGUAGACUCAAACGGGGCGGCCGAACGUGAGCUGGAGAGAAAGGCAGCAGUUUGCGUUCGAUGAUGUGAGCAAAAGAGGCGAGCUCGUAAGAAUCGUAGAGUGGACUCUCACAGUCCCAUAUUUUGUGAGCACGACCAUCAGUUAAUACUGUGUUUUGUGAGUUAUAGGUUCUUCCAUGGAGUUGUGUGUUUGACAUAACUGAAAGACUUGAGAGUUUCUUCGCUAUCUUAUUUUCUGACAGCAACAAAUAAACUAUAGCUUUGUCUGAGUUGUGUCUCGGUCGAAGUGUGUUGUUUAUAUAAGGAUUGAAAAUCUGAGCUGGCUAGAUAGAAUUUUGUGGGUUGAGUGUGUGUUUUUACGUAGUAAUAAAUUGUGAGGCGGUUCUAUUAUUUACUUAAUACCAUUCGGUACUCGACGUAGCGAUAUGUGUAUAUGUGUAUGUGCUGCAUGCUGGUAUGUGAACGUUCCUGUACAAUUAAUAAUUUCCAGCUAUCAUUUUACAAAUAGAGGAAAAAGAUCUAAAUAUGCCACAUUCCAAAAUUGAUACUUCCAUUUGUAUUAUUGUGGAUUCUUUUCUAAAAAAAUAUAAUUAUUUUUCCUAAAUGAAAAGAUAUGGUACGCUUUAUUAUUAUUUAUCAUCUAUUUUGUUCAUGAGAACUUAAUGUGCCAAAGAGUAAAUAGUUUGGUGUGGGGAAAAAAAAGAGGGCAUGCAUGAACCUGGGUGUGUUGUAUAUAUGCUGUCCAAUGAAAAAGCGAUAAGGCAUAAGAUAUUCAUCAUCUUAUUUUGGAAAAAAAUAUAUUCAUCAUCAUAUUAUCGUAUAAAGCAGAAAAGAAAAAGAAACACAUGUGUAAUAUACUAAUAUAUAUGAAAAUAACUUAUUUACCAGUUUAUCAUUUUAAAAUAUCGUCACAUUUUUUUUAUGAUCGGAGAAAGUUCCAGCUGCAACUUUUUUACUGCUUGAAUCAACGUAGUUUGGUUGUCGCAUUUUUAUUAUAUUUAAGAUUAUAACUGUUUGAUGAGUGUUUUGAUUUGAAAUAUACAGUUAGGAAUGUCAAAUGGACAAGUUAGGCUGUCACAUUUUAUUAUACUUAAGAUUAAAACUUAAUUUUUAUUGUAAAAGAUGGAAGUAUACUAAAUUUCGUAUAUAUUAUAGACUUAAACUUUAUAUUUUGCAUUUGAAUUUUUGACGAGAAAAUUUGAUUUUGAAGUUUUUAUGAUUUUGAUGAGAAAUAUGACUUUCAGUUUGAGGAAAACAUGAUUUUGAGAUUUUAGCCGAAAAAGAUAAAAUUUUAACGGAAAAUUAUAAUUUUGCAAUUUUGGCGGAAAACACGAUUUUAUGGUUUUGAUGGAGAAAAUGUAAUUUUUACGGAAAAAUAUGAUUUUUUCAGUUUUGACCAAAACUCGAUUUUAUGUUUUAGUAAGACAAAGUAAAAUUAUAUUUUUUUCUUAAUUUUCUAGACCUAGAUAUUUUAGCUAUUUGGACUACCUAAUGUCGAGAUGGUCUUGUCCGGUUACCCAUGAACCCAAAUCCCAAUUAGACUUGUCCAUUUGAACCCAUUUAACUUUGAUCUAAUAUAAGUGUGUCCAUAUUAAUCUAUAAUAAUUUGGACACGGCCGCCUAUUUGAUAUCCGUCAGUACAUAUUUGUUGAUAACGUGAAAUAUACACAUUAGUCCAAAAUAUUAUAAUAAUUCACUUUCAGAGAUGGACUUAGAUAGAUCGGACGAGAAUAUAUGCAUAAAACAUUAAUGUAUAAUAUAUGCUGAUGAAACAUUUCUCUACAAAUUUACCUGUGAAAAUCUCUCGCCGUAAACAUCUUUAUAUAUAAAAGACAGUUUGAAUCCCUCCCAAGCUAUCCACCUAGGAUGACAGGUCACAAAUUCGAGUGAUACUGUUGUGCCACGUAUGAAACGCAACGUUUCAUUAAAGUCGGAAAUCUCUCGGAUUUGGGCUUAUUUUGUUACACGUCUAUGUCCAAAAGUUAGUCGAAUUCAUAAGUUACGGGCUUUUUAGUUUAACUCCAAAUGUUUUGCACUAUUUUCAAAUUGACCCAAUUAAACUUUUCACACCCAAGCCCAAAAUUGUUUUCUUCGUCCACCUGACUCUGUUUCUGAUUUUCUAUGGAAAGACUACGCCACCAUGGUGUCCAUUGCUGUUCAAACCACCUGUUUUGAAGAUUGGUCGCCAUUACAGUGUACGUUUGCAUUCAAUCAACCUCUAUAUUAAGACGAAGCCACCGUAAUGUCGAUUGAUGUUCAACAAACCAUCUCUGAAGAUCUGGCACCGUAACGGUAAACGAUUACAUUUAAACAACCUCAUUAACACUCUAAUUAACGCCACCAACCCACUCCUGCCGAUACGUAUCGUUCAAUGCAUCUCCCUGUCCUUCCAUAUUAUGAAUCUUCACCUAUAAAUAUGGGAGUUCUUUUUGUUGAAAUUCAUCACUUUCUCCCUUCAAUCAUUGUAAUCCUCACUCACCCAUAAACAACUAUGGAAACCUCCUCCUUUCUGCACGCGGACUUGAAAGCCGGACGUUGUAGCAACACUGUCGAAGUCCCUUAACUAAGAUUUUGGGACCCCCGUGAUGUGAAGAAAAGCGUCGCGCUUAAAGGGUUCGACAUGAUACUUUUGGAUGAAAAAGAACAUCAAGAAAAGUGGAACUCAUGGGGUUUGACUUACUCUUGGUUAAUGGAAAGGCACGCAUUUAUCUUCUUCUUCUUUACUACUCACAAAAAUAACUUCUUAUUUUUAGGUAAAAACGCAAAAAUUACCUUGACCUACUUCUGCAAUGUUCUUACUGACAGUUGACGCUGCUACAAGGUUCCAUCUCAGUCGACUGUAAUAAUUCGUUUGUGAGGAUGCUGAUUCCACCGCUGACGGGAAGAAAAAAAAAGGAGAGCCUCCAUGAUGGCUCUGCUCUUUAGCAGAUCAUGACGUUGUUCCCUGCUUCGAUCUUGGCUCUGAAAGAGAAAAAUCGGGGGAAGCUUAGGAAAGAAAAAAAUAGAGUAGACUACAUCACAACUGAGAUUCUUAGAUUGGGUUGAGUCUGUGUUUAUGAAGAUAACUGAUCUGGGGAAGCUCCGAUUAGUUUUCAAUCCUUACGCAGGAAUAUGGGGAGAUUAAAGAGGAAGCAACACCGUUCCCGUACCGAAAUAAGCUUUUCAAGAUUUAAUACAUAUAUUAACUGGGAAUAAUUGUUUGCUGCAGAGAUAGAGAAGAGUUUCUAGAAUUAUAUUAAAGUGAUUCAGUCUUAUGACCUGGUUUUGUAAGCAAGCAGCCUACAAAUACAUAGUUGAUCACGUGCGAGUAAUAACAAAGAAGGAUAGGUGUAUUAGAGAAAGUAUUUUAGCAACAGAUUCAGCCGAUUAGUAAAGAUCAAAACUUUUGUCGAUCUUGGGAACUAUUUACAAAUGAGCAGAGUAUCCUACCUGCCAAGUACGACGUAUGAGAUAUUAUUUAUCAUUUGAUAUAAAAAUUGGUGUUGGUUAAAUUGUAAUGCUUUGGUGAAACAAUAUAGAAUGUAUUAGUUUUAAAUAUCGUAUA